rnacentral:rRNA from 1 species
UACGUAGGGUGCAAGCGUUAUCCGGAAUUAUUGGGCGUAAAGAGCUCGUAGGCGGUCUGUCGCGUCUGCUGUGAAAACUGGGGGCUCAACCCCCAGCCUGCAGUGGGUACGGGCAGACUAGAGUGCGGUAGGGGAGAUUGGAAUUCCUGGUGUAGCGGUGAAAUGCGCAGAUAUCAGGAGGAACACCGAUGGCGAAGGCAGGUCUCUGGGCCACUACUGACGCUGAGAAGCGAAAGCAUGGGGAGCGAACAGG